GACGAACGCUGGCGGCGUGCCUAAUACAUGCAAGUCGAGCGAAGUUUUUCUGGUGCUUGCACUAGAAAAACUUAGCGGCGAACGGGUGAGUAACACGUAAAGAACCUGCCUCAUAGACUGGGACAACUAUUGGAAACGAUAGCUAAUACCGGAUAACAGUAUUUCUCGCAUGGGAGAUAUUUAAAAGUUGGUUAUGCUAACACUAUGAGAUGGCUUUGCGGUGCAUUAGCUAGUUGGUGGGGUAAAGGCCCACCAAGGCGACGAUGCAUAGCCGACCUGAGAGGGUGAUCGGCCACACUGGGACUGAGACACGGCCCAGACUCCUACGGGAGGCAGCAGUAGGGAAUCUUCCGCAAUGGGCGAAAGCCUGACGGAGCAACGCCGCGUGAGUGAAGAAGGAUUUCGGUUCGUAAAGCUCUGUUGUUAGGGAAGAAUGGAUAUGUAGUAACUAUACAUGUACGAGACGGUACCUAACCAGAAAGCCACGGCUAACUACGUGCCAGCAGCCGCGGUAAUACGUAGGUGGCAAGCGUUGUCCGGAAUUAUUGGGCGUAAAGCGCGCGCAGGUGGUUUAAUAAGUCUGAUGUGAAAGCCCACGGCUCAACCGUGGAGGGUCAUUGGAAACUGUUAAACUUGAGUGCAGGAGAGAAAAGUGGAAUUCCUAGUGUAGCGGUGAAAUGCGUAGAGAUUAGGAGGAACACCAGUGGCGAAGGCGGCUUUUUGGCCUGUAACUGACACUGAGGCGCGAAAGCGUGGGGAGCAAACAGG
rnacentral:rRNA from 1 species